GUCGACUGGGCCUCCGCUGGGACCCAGGCGUGCGACCGGCUCUGCCUCCUCCGCAGUUCUGCCUCAGGACCUUUGCAUUUGCCAUCUCCUCUGUCAGCUUCAGUUCCCGAUGCCGAAAUGGAUCUCCAUCACCUUCAUAUUGAAGCUCAACUGUAACAUCAGCAAGGCUUCCUGCAAUCCCCUACUUUACUAGUUCAGCACCUCCCACCACCACACCCCCUGGAAAAAUUUCCCCUCACUUCCUUAAUUUCUUCCAUAGCACAACUCAUCAGCAUCUGAAAUUCUACACGUAUUUAUGGUUUAUCCCCUCCGAGUAGAAUGUGAGCUCAUUGAGGUCAGGGAAUUCUGUUUUCUUCAUGAUAUCCUCAGCACCUAGCAUAUAUUUGAGGUUCACAUACUGACCAAACGAAUAAAGGAAUAUGUUAAUUUUUAAAAAAAGUUGAGUUAUUCUUCCACCUUCAUCCCCAUAGCCCCUUAUCUCAGUUCAGACCUCAUCCCUUCUCCAGGAUCACUGAGGCAGCCUUCUCACUGUCCUCCCAGCCUCCUGUGUCUCCCUACUAUC
rnacentral:lncRNA from 1 species